UCUUGCACAAUGGGGGAAACCCUGAUGCAGCGACGCCGCGUGAGCGAUGAAGCCCUUCGGGGUGUAAAGCUCUUUCGGCAGGAACGAUAAUGACGGUACCUGCAGAAGAAGCUGCGGCUAACUACGUGCCAGCAGCCGCGGUAAUACGUAGGCAGCGAGCGUUGUUCGGAGUUACUGGGCGUAAAGAGUAUGUAGGCGGUUCUCCAAGUCUGGUGUGAAAUCUCCCGGCUCAACCGGGAGGGUGCAUUGGAAACUGGGGGGCUGGAGUGCGGGAGAGGGAAGCGGAAUUCCUGGUGUAGCGGUGAAAUGCGUAGAUAUCAGGAGGAACACCCGCGGUGUAGACGGCUUCCUGGACCGUAACUGACGCUGAGAUACGAAAGCGUGGGGAGCAAACAGG
rnacentral:rRNA from 1 species